rnacentral:lncRNA from 1 species
CGAGACUCCCAGGAUGAAGUCUGGCUCUGUUGCCCAAGCUGGAGUGUGUUGGCACCAUCUUGGUUCACUGCAACUUCCACCUCCCAGGCUCCAGUGAUUCUCCUGCCUCAGCCUCAAGGGUAGCUGAGAUUACAGGCUGGAGUGCAGUGGCAUGAUCUCACCUCACUGAGAACCUCCACCUCCAGGGUUCAAGUGAUUCUGCUACCUCAACCUCCCAAAUAGCUGGGACUACAGGGUCUCAUUCUGUCACCCAGGUUGGAGUGCAGUGGCAACAUCAUAGCUCACUGCAGCCUUGAACCCCUGGGCUCAAGUGAUCCUCCUGCUUCAGCCUCCUGAGUAGCUGGGGCUACAGGCACUUUCCCUACAUUUUCAAAGGCCUGCAUCAUCACAUCUGCCACAGCAUUCUCUAUCAUUGAGGCAUUUUCUCAGGAAAUCACCUGUGAAAUAUUUUGCAGCUAACCACCUACCUGUGCCCCACCAGCCAACAUGCUUUACUCCUGCCAGGCAGGUUCUCUGUAGCCCUCUGGAUUCUGUCUGCCUCUGUUAUAUCUUCACGAACAAGUUAUGCAGCCUCAACUAAAGCUUGUAACAAAGCAAAGUUACUCUCCUGAGUGUGUCCUCUGAUGGAUGGUGAGAUAUAACUUCAAGAUGAAGCCUCACCCACACUCCCUGUACAAAAACGCUUCUCACUGAAAGGAAAAUAAAAACGUUGGAACCCAAACCACUCUGCC